AGGAUGAACGCUGCGGCGUGCCUAAUACAUGCAAGUCGAGCGAACAGACGAGGAGCUUGCUCCUCUGACGUUAGCGGCGGACGGGUGAGUAACACGUGGAUAACCUACCUAUAAGACUGGGAUAACUUCGGGAAACCGGAGCUAAUACCGGAUAACAUGUUGAACCGCAUGGUUCAACAGUGAAAGACGGUCUUGCUGUCACUUAUAGAUGGAUCCGCGCCGCAUUAGCUAGUUGGUAAGGUAACGGCUUACCAAGGCAACGAUGCGUAGCCGACCUGAGAGGGUGAUCGGCCACACUGGAACUGAGACACGGUCCAGACUCCUACGGGAGGCAGCAGUAGGGAAUCUUCCGCAAUGGGCGAAAGUCUGACGGAGCAACGCCGCGUGAGUGAAGAAGGUCUUCGGAUCGUAAAACUCUGUUAUUAGGGAAGAACAAAUGUGUAAGUAACUAUGCACGUCUUGACGGUACCUAAUCAGAAAGCCACGGCUAACUACGUG
rnacentral:rRNA from 1 species